rnacentral:lncRNA from 1 species
UUUAUUUAUCUGCAUUAUUAUUCAUAAUUUUAGUUAACAAUUCGACUUUCAAAAUAUUAAUUUUAUUAUUUAAUUAAAAUUUUAACUUAUUUAAUUUUAAUCAAUCAGUAAUAAUUUAACUUUAAAAUUUAAGCUAAUUACUGUAGCUUAAUAAAUUUGUACGUAGCUGCUAGAAUUGCAAGUAGUCUACUAAUUAAAUUAUGUAAAAAUAAACAAUACGUUCAAAUUUUAUCGCUGAAUGACUUAAAUGAAAUAAUAAAAAUAAAUAGAUAGUAAAAUUAAAAUUUUAAAAGAUUGAAUAGUUUAUUCAAAAUGAUUUAUAGUUUGCAUAAUUAAAUUCAGUACGUUUAAUCGUGCUAAAAUAACAUAAACUCACGUGUCAACAACGUCUUAUUGGGGAUUCUCCAAUUCUCUGUAGCAUGCCAAUUUUAUAGUCAUCCAAAAAAUUAUCAAUAUUUUUAAUAAUAAAAUUUAAAAAAUUAGAUUCUAAAAAAUAACAUUAUAUUUUUUUAAAUU